ACCUUCUGUGGCCUAGUGGUAGCGCCUAGAAUUCGUAAUCAUAAGUCCUAGGUUCGAAUCCCGGUCGGGGUA